CUACGUGCCAGCAGCCGCGGUAAUACGUAUGUCGCGAGCGUUAUCCGGAAUUAUUGGGCAUAAAGGGCAUCUAGGCGGCCUGACAAGUCAGGGGUGAAAACCUGCGGCUCAACCGCAGGCCUGCCUUUGAAACUGUGAGGCUGGAGUACCGGAGAGGUGGACGGAACUGCACGAGUAGAGGUGAAAUUCGUAGAUAUGUGCAGGAAUGCCGAUGAUGAAGAUAGUUCACUGGACGGUAACUGACGCUGAGGCUCGAAAGCGUGGGGAGCAAACAGGAUUAGAUACCCUGGUAGUCCACGCCGUAAACGAUGAGUGCUAGGUGUUGGGUCCUUUCCGGGACUCAGUGCCGCAGCUAACGCAUUAAGUGCCCCGCCUGGGGAGUACGGCCGCAAGGCUAAAACUCAAAGAAAUUGACGGGGGCCCGCACAAGCGGCGGAGCAUGCGGAUUAAUUCGAUGCAACGCGAAGAACCUUACCAAGGCUUGACAU
rnacentral:rRNA from 1 species